GGGGUGCUCGAGUGGCGAACGGGUGAGUAACACGUGAGUAACCUGCCCUUGACUUUGGGAUAACUUCAGGAGACUGGGGCUAAUACCGGAUAGGAGCUCCUGCUGCAUGGUGGGGGUUGGAAAGUUUCGGCGGUUGGGGAUGGACUCGCGGCUUAUCAGCUUGUUGGCGGGGUAGUGGCUUACCAAGGCUUUGACGGGUAGCCGGCCUGAGAGGGUGACCGGCCACAUUGGGACUGAGAUACGGCCCAG
rnacentral:rRNA from 1 species